UGGGGAAUAUUGGACAAUGGGCGAAAGCCUGAUCCAGCCAUGCCGCGUUUGUGAAGAAGGUCUUCGGAUUGUAAAGCACUUUAAGUUGGGAGGAAGGGCAUUAACCUAAUACGUUAGUGUUUUGACGUUACCGACAGAAUAAGCACCGGCUAACUCUGUGCCAGCAGCCGCGGUAAUACAGAGGGUGCAAGCGUUAAUCGGAAUUACUGGGCGUAAAGCGCGCGUAGGUGGUUUGUUAAGUUGGAUGUGAAAUCCCCGGGCUCAACCUGGGAACUGCAUUCAAAACUGACUGACUAGAGUAUGGUAGAGGGUGGUGGAAUUUCCUGUGUAGCGGUGAAAUGCGUAGAUAUAGGAAGGAACACCAGUGGCGAAGGCGACCACCUGGACUAAUACUGACACUGAGGUGCGAAAGCGUGGGGAGCAAACA
rnacentral:rRNA from 1 species